rnacentral:tRNA from 1 species
GCCCGGGUGGUGGAAUAGGUAGACACUGGGGACUUAAAAUCCCCUGGCUGAAUAGGCCGUGCCGGUUCGAUUCCGGCCUCGGGCA